CCUACGGGUGGCUGCAGUGGGGAAUAUUGCACAAUGGGGGAAACCCUGAUGCAGCGACGCCGCGUGAGUGAAGAAGUAUUUCGGUAUGUAAAGCUCUAUCAGCAGGGAAGAAAAUGCAGGUAGCUGACUAAGAAGCCCCGGCUAACUCCGUGCCAGCAGCCGCGGUAAUACGUCGGGGGCAAGCGUUAUCCGGAUUUACUGGGUGUAAAGGGAGCGUAGACGGCGCGGCAGGUCUGAAGUGAAAGGCAGGGGCUGAACCCCGGAACUGCUUUGGAAACUGCCAUGCUAGAGUGCGGGAGAGGUAAGUGGAAUUCCUGGUGUAGCGGUGAAAUGCGUAGAUAUGAGGAGGAACACCAGUGGCGAAGGCGGCUUACUGGACAAUAACUGACGUUGAGGCGCGAAAGCGUGGGGAGCAAACAGGAUUAGAUACCCGAGUAGUC
rnacentral:rRNA from 1 species